UUCCACCUUAAUGGCAUUUAUUUGUACUAAUUCAGAAAUAUACAAACUAAUUAAUAUAAUCACAUUUAGCAUGCAGAACCACUGUGGGAGGAAAACAUGAACAAAAGUGGGCCUUCACAGAAGGUGAUACACUGUCAAGAUUAUUUCAGUUGAUUGAAUAAUUCUCUCUCUCAAUUCUGGAAAUGCUGAAGUCCAGAAUUCAGGACUUUGCAAAGUUAGAAGCACUAGAGUGGAAAAGAUAACUACAUAGGGUAAGCCAGUCUUAAAACCUCUUCAUUAGCAACCAAUACUUUUGCUAAUUCAAGGAACAUGCAAGUCCAUAAAGUUAAAGGGAACUUUACAGUGGUUUGCUGCCUUUGCAGGAAAACCAGUUUUAGUACUAUAGUUUCUGGGUUUGGUAGGGAGUCCAUCCAGCUCACACAGUGUUUUGCAGAAUCUAGAACAGGAAUAAAAGAAACCAGAGGCUUAAUAAAUAAUGUUAUACUUUUAGCUGAGGGAUUGCAAGUAGCUCCAGCUCUUUAUACAUUAGGAAAAGGUUUAAAAUACAAAAGAAGUUAGUAUCAUGAAGAAAACAUUUAAUGUUCAGGAGCAAAGUGCAGGGAGAAAGGGCUUCAACCUUCUAACUGGGCUGAAGGCAGAGUCCAGCAACACACCAUGUCCCUGGCAUUGAAUAGCAAUAAAACCUGUUUUGCACAUCACACUGUAUCAACUUCUCAGACUUCAUUAAAAUUGUCAGGAAAAAAAAAUAAUCCUCAAACUAAAAAUUCCAGAACUAAUGGCUGCAGUUGAAGCCACUUACAAGUUUUAAAUACAUAUAAAGGAUGUCUGGAGUCUGUUCUUUUCUGGACAUGAGAUCUUCUUGCAUAGACGCAGCGGUCAUUAGAUGAUUUUGAUUUGUGGCCGUUUCACCCAUCUCCUUCCAAAAGUUCAAUCCAUCCAGCUCAACUCAACUCACCAUAAAGAACAGCAGCGAUGGCCAACUGACUUAAGUUGCUUCAAACCAGGAUUCCUCCUAUUUCCUAACUAUGGAGUUACAGGAUAUGAAUAUUUUUUUAAAAAGAGCUGAAUAAAAAAAGCCAACAAACCCAAACCAUUCAACUCUGUGUAGUUGCACUGAAUCAUCAUCAUGUUUGGGGAAAAAAAA
rnacentral:lncRNA from 1 species